GGUCAAGCGAAUAAGCGCACACGGUGGAUGCCUAGGCGGUCAGAGGCGAUGAAGGACGUGGUAGCCUGCGAAAAGUGUCGGGGAGCUGGCAACAAGCUUUGAUCCGGCAAUAUCCGAAUGGGGAAACCCACUGCUUCGGCAGUAUCCUGCAGUGAAUUCAUAGCUGCUGGAAGCGAACCCGGUGAACUGAAAUAUCUAAGUAACCGGAGGAAAAGAAAUCAACCGAGAUUCCCUAAGUAGUGACGAGCGAACGGGGAACAGCCCUUAAGCUGGAAUGGCUUUAGAAAAACAAUCUGGAAAGAUUGGCCAUAGAAGGUGAUAGCCCUGUAUUUGAAAGGGCCAUUCCAGUGAAGACGAGUAGGGCGGGGCACGUGAAACCCUGUCUGAAUAUGGGGGGACCAUCCUCCAAGGCUAAAUACUCCUGACCGACCGAUAGUGAACCAGUACCGUGAGGGAAAGGCGAAAAGAACCCCGGAGAGGGGAGUGAAAUAGAUCCUGAAACCGUGUGCGUACAAGCAGUAGGAGCUCGCAAGAGUGACUGCGUACCUUUUGUAUAAUGGGUCAGCGACUUACUGUUCGUGGCAAGCUUAACCGUAUAGGGGAGGCGAAGGGAAACCGAGUCUGAUAAGGGCGCAUAGUCGCGGGCAGUAGACCCGAAACCGGGUGAUCUAGUCAUGGCCAGGGUGAAGGUGCCGUAACAGGUACUGGAGGCCCGAACCCACGUCUGUUGCAAAAGACGGGGAUGAGCUGUGAUUAGGAGUGAAAAGCUAAUCGAACCCGGAGAUAGCUGGUUCUCCUCGAAAGCUAUUUAGGUAGCGCCUCGGACGAAUACUACUGGGGGUAGAGCACUGUUAUGGCUAGGGGGUCAUCGCGACUUACCAAACCAUUGCAAACUCCGAAUACCAGUACGUACUAUCCGGGAGACACACGGCGGGUGCUAACGUCCGUCGUGAAAAGGGAAACAACCCAGACCCACAGCUAAGGUCCCAAAUUCACUGCUAAGUGGAAAACGAUGUGGAAAGGCACAGACAGCCAGGAGGUUGGCUUAGAAGCAGCCACCCUUUAAAGAAAGCGUAAUAGCUCACUGGUCGAGUCGGUCUGCGCGGAAGAUUUAACGGGGCUAAGCAGUGAACCGAAGCUUGGGGUGCAUGAAACUUGUUUUAUGCGCGGUAGAGGAGCGUUCCGUAAGCCUGUGAAGGUAGAUUGAGAAGUCUGCUGGAGGUAUCGGAAGUGCGAAUGCUGACAUGAGUAACGAUAAUGCGGGUGAAAAGCCCGCACGCCGAAAGCCCAAGGUUUCCUUGCGCAACGUUAAUCGACGCAGGGUUAGUCGGUCCCUAAGGCGAGGGCGAAAGCCGUAGUCGAUGGGAAGCAGGUUAAUAUUCCUGCACCUCGCGUGAGUGCGAUGGAGGGACGGAGAAGGUUAGGUGUACCGGGCGUUGGUUGUCCCGGAGAAAGGCAGUAGGUUUGAAUCUUUGGCAAAUCCGGGAUUCUUAAAGACCGAGCACCGAGACGAGCCUUUAUGGCAAAGUCACUGAUACCACGCUUCCAGGAAAAGCUUCUAAGCUUCAGCUCACGAAGACCGUACCGUAAACCGACACAGGUGGGUAGGAUGAGAAUUCUCAGGCGCUUGAGAGAACUCGGGUGAAGGAACUAGGCAACAUGGCACCGUAACUUCGGGAGAAGGUGCACCCUUUUUGGUGGCUCAUGCGAGCUAAAGCUGAAGAGGGUCGCAGAAACCAGGCCGCUGCGACUGUUUAUCAAAAACACAGCACUCUGCAAACACGAAAGUGGACGUAUAGGGUGUGACGCCUGCCCGGUGCUGGAAGGUUAAUUGAUGGGGUCAGCCGCAAGGCGAAGCUCUUGAUCGAAGCCCCAGUAAACGGCGGCCGUAACUAUAACGGUCCUAAGGUAGCGAAAUUCCUUGUCGGGUAAGUUCCGACCUGCACGAAUGGCGUAACGACAGCGGCGCUGUCUCCACCCGAGACUCAGUGAAAUUGAAAUCGCUGUGAAGAUGCAGCGUUCCCGUGGCAAGACGGAAAGACCCCGUGAACCUUUACUAUAGCUUUACACUGAACGUUGAGUUCGUCUGUGUAGGAUAGGUGGGAGGCUAUGAAACUGUGGCGCUAGCUGUAGUGGAGCCAUCCUUGAAAUACCACCCUGUCGUGCUUGACGUUCUAACCUAGAUCCGUUAUCCGGAUCAGGGACCGUGUAUGGUGGGUAGUUUGACUGGGGCGGUCUCCUCCUAAAGAGUAACGGAGGAGCACGAAGGUACGCUCAGCGCGGUCGGACAUCGCGCACUGUGUGCAAAGGCAUAAGCGUGCUUGACUGCAAGAUCGACGGAUCAAGCAGGUACGAAAGUAGGUCUUAGUGAUCCGGUGGUUCUGUAUGGAAGGGCCAUCGCUCAACGGAUAAAAGGUACUCCGGGGAUAACAGGCUGAUACCGCCCAAGAGUUCAUAUCGACGGCGGUGUUUGGCACCUCGAUGUCGGCUCAUCACAUCCUGGGGCUGUAGUCGGUCCCAAGGGUAUGGCUGUUCGCCAUUUAAAGUGGUACGCGAGCUGGGUUCAGAACGUCGUGAGACAGUUCGGUCCCUAUCUGCCAUGGGCGUUGGAAGUUUGAGAGGGGCUGCUCCUAGUACGAGAGGACCGGAGUGGACGAACCUCUGGUGUUCCGGUUGUCACGCCAGUGGCAUUGCCGGGUAGCUAUGUUCGGAAGCGAUAACCGCUGAAAGCAUCUAAGCGGGAAGCGCGCCUCAAGAUGAGACUUCCCGGGGCACAAGCCCCCUAAAGGAACCAUGUAGACUACGUGGUUGAUAGGUCAGGUGUGUAAGUACAGCAAUGUAUUGAGCUAACUGAUACUAAUGAUCCGUGCGGCUUGACCAU
rnacentral:rRNA from 1 species